GGAUGUGAGGCUGAUCUGGCUGCGACAUCUGUCACCCCAUUGAUCGCCAGGGUUGAUUCGGCUGAUCUGGCUGGCUAGGCAGGUGUCCCCUUCCUCCCUCACCGCUCCAUGUGCGUCCCUCCUGAAGCUGCGCGCUCGGUAGAAGAGGACGACAUCCCAGGUAUAGAAGGAGUGUACCGAGGUCUCCAGUCUUCGGUCCCGGGUAUGGAUGUGUCAAAUAUAGACUAUACUGUUCAUAAGCCUAAACUUAGUAGUUUACAACCUCAUCA
rnacentral:snRNA from 11 species